AACGAACGCUGGCGGCAGGCCUAAUACAUGCAAGUCGAGCGAGCACACCGGGAUCUGCGGCGGAUGGGUGUGUCACGCGUGGGAACGUGCCCUCCUCUGCGGAAUAGCCUCGGGAAACUGAGAGUAAUACCGCACACGACCUUAUGGGGAAAGAUAUAUCGGAGAAGUUUCGGCAGGCGUUGGAUGCGGUUGUUGGUGGGGUAAUGGCUCAACACGCCGACGAUCCAUAGCUGGUUUGUGAGGAUGGUCAGCCACUCUGGGACUGAGACACGGCCCGGACUCCUACGGGAGGCAGCAGAGGGGGAUCGUAGACAGUGGGGGCAACCCUGAUGUUGCCAUGCCGGGUGAGUGAUGAAGGCCUUAGGGUAGUAAAGCGCUUUCAGCUGGGAAGAUAAUGACGGUACCAGCAGAGGAAGCCCCGGCUAACUCCGUG
rnacentral:rRNA from 1 species